rnacentral:lncRNA from 1 species
AUAAGCAGCAAAAUAAAUAGAGAUAAAAUAAACUCAUACUCAAGUUUUAAUAUACUUCCUGUUUUUAUUUAGUGACACAGCUAGGGUCUCUGGUUCAUCUUAUUUUUGUUUUUCAUUUCUCUGAUGACUCAGGAUCAAUCAUCACAGUGCUGCCUCUUUCAAGCAUCUUGUUCUGGCGAUUUGUGUUUCUUUACUGUUUGAUUGUUUCUUGAUGAAUGCCUUGCUGACUUUCUACGAAAAGUUUUUUUCUGAUUUGAAAUUCGCCACCCAAGUGAACAUCAAGCCCCUAUACACAUGUCACUGAAACGUCACAUCGUGCUCACAAUGGGCAACUCCUUGAAUUUACUGCCACUCUAAUCUUAAAAGAAUUUAGUCUGUCGAAUUCGAAGAGAUGCCUGCAUUAAAGUUACCUGCCAGCCAUGCAUUUUCUAAACAAUGGAACCAAAAACAGCUAUCACACAUGCAGAACGGAGAUCGCCAAUCAACUUGGGUGUCACACAGGAGGUAUACCAGAUGUCUACAGAAGAUAGCUGAUUAAGAAAAUAGUACAUUGGUUGGUUAUACAGAGAACUGCAUCGGAUGGAGAUAAGGAUCAGAAGGUUUCCCAUCAAGAUGGCAAGGUAACAAAACAGGAAGAAGAUGAAGCAAAAUAUCUGUAUGUUCUGGUCAGAAGAAAGACCCAGGAGAAUGAAUUCUGAUAUGUUUCUCUGACUUUCCAUAUAUGAUACACAAUGCACAAAUAAUUAUCUGAGGAAAAAUGAAUUUAGAUAAAAAUAUUUGUAACAGGAUCACAAUCGUAUAAAGACUACCAGAAAGUCACAAAAGCUAUUCAAACAAUUCAUGGAAGCUAAUACAUAAAAAAUAUAUUAAUAAUAUUUGUUUUUGUUCUGAUUUCCCCAGCAGUUGUUUUUGAAAAGAUGUUCCAAGCCGUCUAUCAUAUUGGUAAUACUAGAAUAUAAUUUAUUAAACUGUGAAAAUAUAAUGAUUAAAAAUUGCAAUUUCAAAAUAAAAGAAGUUCUGAUGUUGCUAUUUAUAACAUUCAGAUAUAAGAAAAAUUUCUUAAUAUAAUGCAGGACAUUUAUCUAAUUUGUAAUUUUUAGUUUCAUUCUUCAUUCAGUGUUUUCAGUUUAGGUAACGGGCCCUUCUCCCAGCAAGAGACAGAGCAGGUCCCAGAACUGCUUUCAGAUAUCUGCUCAAUGAAUGUAUUUGAAGUUUUUAAAUUCCCUAAAUUGUUAGCUGUGUGAUGGGUGGUUAAUACAGCUCAAAACAUAGGGGUAAGAACCUGGGUAAGUUUAUCCUUCUUGUUAAAAUAAG